UUAACCCGAAUUUGUGUGGAGUGGGAACGUUCGCCUACGUUUACUACUAGAGGCGCUGUUCUAACUGCAUACAAAUUUGCGUUA
rnacentral:pre_miRNA from 1 species